AUGCGUCUAACAACUUCACCUCUUCAAGUCAAGUUCCUGGAACAGCUUUACAAAUACGCAGCCAACUUAAUCAAGGUCUUCAGCAGAAGAGGAGGAGCUGCUGGAAGGAAGAUCCGAUUCCUCAUGGCUCCAACAGCAACAUAGUGAAGACACUGAGAUGAAGUGUGUCGUCAGAAGCCUGUGUGUUUACCUCAGUGAGGACAGCAACACUCUCAUCAAGGAGCACUAGCAUUAGGAUGUCAGCAGUGAGGAACUAAGAGACAGAUCGCACCAUGGGGCUCCAUCUGAUUUGCAGAGAAGGUGCCGAUGAAGAGGACAAGCCAGCGGACGUUGGAGCGCUGGUCGGGGGUGUGGGACUGC